GACGAACGCUGGCGGCGUGCUUAACACAUGCAAGUCGAACGGAAAGGCCCUGCUUUUGUGGGGUGCUCGAGUGGCGAACGGGUGAGUAACACGUGAGUAACCUGCCCUUGACUUUGGGAUAACUUCAGGAAACUGGGGCUAAUACCGGAUAGGAGCUCCUGCUGCAUGGUGGGGGUUGGAAAGUUUCGGCGGUUGGGGAUGGACUCGCGGCUUAUCAGCUUGUUGGUGGGGUAGUGACUUACCAAGGCUUUGACGGGUAGCUGGCCUGAGAGGGUGACCGGCCACAUUGGGACUGAGAUACGGCCCAGACUCCUACGGGAGGCAGCAGUGGGGAAUAUUGCACAAUGGGCGGAAGCCUGAUGAAGCAACGCCGCGUGCGGGAUGACGGCCUUCGGGUUGUAAACCGCUUUCGCCUGUGACGAAGCGUGAGUGACGGUAAUGGGUAAAGAAGCACCGGCUAACUACGUG
rnacentral:rRNA from 1 species